rnacentral:rRNA from 1 species
AGCAGUCGCCGCGGGAAUACGAAGGGUGCAAGCGUUACUCGGAAUUACUGGGCGUAAAGCGUGCGUAGGUGGUUGUUUUAGUCUGCUGUGAAAGCCCUGGGCUCAACCUGGGAAUUGCAGUGGAUACUGGGCAACUAGAGUAAGGUAGAGGAUAGUGGAAUUUCCGGUGUAGCAGUGAAAUGCGUAGAGAUCGGAAGGAACAUCUGUGGCGAAGGCGACUAUCUGGGCCAUUACUGACACUGAGGCACGAAAGCGUGGGGAGCAAACAGGAUUAGAUACCCCGGUAGUCCCUGUCUCUUAUAC